AGAGGACGAAAACCCAUGCAGAUGCAGCUAGCCCGCGCCGUGCGGAGAACGACAUGCCGUGCCGCCUCCGAGAGCAGAGCAUAACAGAAACCGCCAUUGGCGCCCUAAGCUAAGCUAGUAGUAGCACAAACGAGUGCGUGUUGAAGAUGGUCUCAGAAGAGGGAGGCGGUAAUCGGAGAUACAUUGCUACGGGGCGGGGAAGCGAGAUGUCUGCUGUUGGGGGGAGGGGGCACCGACAAAAGAAACAAAAUUAAUUCAGGUCGCGGCGACCACAAAGAAGACGCCCAACCCCCGCAUCCCGAACUACCCGAGCCUGCCGUCCCAGCUGCUGUGCCAAGUUCACAACAUCACCAUGCAUGUAAGUGCACACGGUUCAUCUUCAGGUUCAGGUGUAGGGGUUAGUUGCCAGAUGCAUUAGCCAUUUAACCCUGAAGAAUGCUUGAUUACUUGUCUUCCACACGCCGACAAGGACACCGAUGAGAUGUAUGCACAGAUGACUCUUCAACCAGUGAACUCUGUAUUUCUGUAAGUACUGUUUGCAAUGGAGCUUGGUGAAGAAAUUCAGAACAUGCUGAACUGAAUUUUUUCUACAGUGUUAACUGAAAGUGUAAAACUGUCACCUGAAAGUCUAAAUCUGGCCAAAACAUCGGGACUCCACUGAGUUGUCACCAAUCCUCGUAUUCUAGUAUUAUUCAAAAUGUCAAGCAAAACUAUAUGCCUCCCUCAA